GAAAUUCUUUUUAAACUUAAAACUUGUUAGAAGAAAAAGGGAAAAGCCUCUUCCCUGGGAUCCACUGGCCCUCAGCUGGAGCUUUCAGCAGGCAGCAGAGGCAGCAGCUGUGCACCAGAGAGGUGGAAAGGGGAAGCCACCUCUUCCCCUGGGGCCACUGCGGAACUGCACAAGCCCCAUCAAACCUAAAAAGCCACAGGAAGACUCAGGACUCAGGAGCAACUACUGCUUGCAAGGAAAUCUCCAAGGGCAGAAGUUCGACUGAAAGUGCUUUUUUUCCUCUGCCUCUUGUGUUGUUCUUGUUCACAGUUCUCUGAUCCUGUGAUCUAAGUUUUACAAUAAACUUUCCCUUUACAGUGUGUA